rnacentral:rRNA from 1 species
CAGCCGCCACGGUAAAACGAAGGGGGCUAGCGUUGUUCGGAAUUACUGGGCGUAAAGCGCACGUAGGCGGACAUUUAAGUCAGGGGUGAAAUCCCGGGGCUCAACCCCGGAACUGCCUUUGAUACUGGGUGUCUAGAGUAUGGAAGAGGUGAGUGGAAUUCCGAGUGUAGAGGUGAAAUUCGUAGAUAUUCGGAGGAACACCAGUGGCGAAGGCGGCUUACUGGUCCAUUACUGACGCUGAGGUGCGAAAGCGUGGGGAGCAAACAGGAUUAGAUACCCCUGUAGUCCCUGUCUCUUAUAC